AGAUGGCCCUCCUGAAGAGGGCAUGGAAUUUCUGCACCCUUUCCCCACACCUUGCCCACCCUUCUGCCAUCUGGCUGCUCCUGAGUUAAUAUCCUGUAAUAAGUCAGUGAACUGGAGGCAUAGAGGGAGGACCCUUUUCUCCACCCUCCACACCUGUCAUGUUUGUUUAGCACGGACCUCCUGGCAACAAUUCCUCUCCUUGCUCCACCCGUGCAGCUCCUACAGAUCUGGCAUUUUCCUUCAUGACCCUGCUUCCCUAGACACAGUAAUUAACAGAGGUGGACAGCAGACAAGUGGAAACUGAGGCACACGGGGGACGCGGAGGCUGUGAGGUCACGUCACACACUUGUGAGAUGUGGCCACAUGAUGCAGUUCUGGAAGAAGUUCUGUUUCGGUCUGCUUAAAAAGAGAGGACCCAGCUGGGAAGUGGCCUUUCGCCUUCAACCUUUCUUCUGGUCUGGAACUGGGACUCAUGGCUGGAGCUCCUGUUGUAAUCUCACAUCAUAAAGUGAAAUUGAUGGAAGCCAUAAACAACGGGCAACAGGAACGCUCACUUGUGAGCCAGCAUGCUAUGCUAAGUCACUUCAGUCGUGUCCGAUUCUGUGCGACCUCAUAGACGGCAGCCCACCAGGCUCCCCCGUCCCUGGGACACUCCAGGCAAGAACACUGGAGUGG